rnacentral:rRNA from 1 species
AGUGAACGCUGGCGGUAGGCCUAACACAUGCAAGUCGAACGGCAGCACAGUAAGAGCUUGCUCUUACGGGUGGCGAGUGGCGGACGGGUGAGGAAUACAUCGGAAUCUACUUUUUCGUGGGGGAUAACGUAGGGAAACUUACGGUAAUACCGCAUACGACCUACGGGUGAAAGCAGGGGAUCUUCGGACCUUGCGCGAUUGAAUGAGCCGAUGUCGGAUUAGCUAGUUGGCGGGGUAAAGGCCCACCAAGGCGACGAUCCGUAGCUGGUCUGAGAGGAUGAUCAGCCACACUGGAACUGAGACACGGUCCAGACUCCUACGGGAGGCAGCAGUGGGGAAUAUUGGACAAUGGACGCAAGCCUGAUCCAGCCAUACCGCGUGGGUGAAGAAGGCCUUCGGGUUGUAAAGCCCUUUUGUUGGGAAAGAAAAGCAGCAGGUUAAUACCCCGCUGUUCUGACGGUACCCAAAGAAUAAGCACCGGCUAACUUCGUG